GGGGGUGAUCGGUUUCGACUUCGGUGAUUGUGCCGAGGGGAAGCGGGUCGAGGAAAGCGUAUGCCGCCUCGUUAAUCAUGCAUUCGCGCUAAACACAAGUGCCAAUUCCAAGCGCACUGAGUUCGCCCUCGCUGCCUAAGUAGCGAUCGCGACUCUGUCGGCCUGAGCUCGUCAUCGGCUCAGGUACCGGCACCAGCUAGAUGACUCACCGUCCGGAUCAGGCCACGGGGCCGGGCGGGACAUCCACGUGGCUGGGCCUGUCAGCGAUGUGUGCGUCCAAGCGCUGAGGCCGAGCAGAACGAUACGACGCACUGCACCCGGAGAAGCCCUGGUUCGACACUGAAGGACGCGGGUUCGAUUCCCGCCACCUCCAC
rnacentral:tmRNA from 1 species